rnacentral:rRNA from 1 species
CCUACGGGUGGCAGCAGUGAGGAAUAUUGGUCAAUGGACGAGAGUCUGAACCAGCCAAGUAGCGUGAAGGAUGACUGCCCUAUGGGUUGUAAACUUCUUUUAUAUGGGAAUAAAACGUUCCACGUGUGGGAUUUUGUAUGUACCAUAUGAAUAAGGAUCGGCUAACUCCGUGCCAGCAGCCGCGGUAAUACGGAGGAUCCGAGCGUUAUCCGGAUUUAUUGGGUUUAAAGGGAGCGUAGGUGGAUUGUUAAGUCAGUUGUGAAAGUUUGCGGCUCAACCGUAAAAUUGCAGUUGAAACUGGCAGUCUUGAGUACAGUAGAGGUGGGCGGAAUUCGUGGUGUAGCGGUGAAAUGCUUAGAUAUCACGAAGAACUCCGAUUGCGAAGGCAGUUCACUGGACUGCAACUGACACGGAGGCUCGAAAGUGUGGGUAUCAAACAGGAUUAGAUACCCCUGUAGUC